rnacentral:lncRNA from 1 species
UCCAUUAUCUCAUAGUCUGAGAAUAUUAACACUAAUUCGUCAAUCAUACCUACAAAGAAUCAAAUAAAAUAUAUUAGAACCAUACAAAAGUAAAAAAAAAAAUAUGCAGAAAAAAAAUUGUGAGAAUGACAUUGAUAAAAUGCAUAUUUAUAAGGACGCAAGUGUACGUAAGAAGCUUCAUCAAUUUAAUUUUAAAAUCAAAUCAAAUUAUUAUUACGAAUUUAUUAGCAGCGCAGCUAAUGGCAACAAAUUAGGAAAUAAAAUAAUUAAGAAUAUUUUAUUCUUCGCCACAGAUAUUUUGAACAAAAUCACAUGCAUAUUUGGAAGAAGUAAUCAUAACUAACCAAAUUUGAAUAAAUUUCGAAAUAAAAGUAAUUAUCUUUCUGUAUAAUGUCGAGUUGUUAAGCUAAAAUUUAGGAAACAAUAUAAUAUUUAGUUAAAUAUUUAAAUGAUUCCAAAAGUAAAAUUAGGAAACCAAGAUUUAAAAAAUUAUAGUAUCCCUCAGUUAUAGUAAAUAAUCAUUUUUGAUUAGAUUCGAUUUAUGAAUUUAUUAACUUAGUUUAAAAGAGCUGAUCCCUCCAUUAUAGCAAACAACCCAAUUUAGAUAUACGAUUUUUUUCUGUUAAAUGUAUUCAAUUUAUUAGUUAUAUUCCUAACAAAAUUUUUUUUUAUAGAUAUGUUAGAUUAAUAAUUGUUUAUCUAAGAAAAUAAUUUUUAUUAAGCAAUUAUGUUCUAUUAAUUUUUAACGAAUUCGGUUAUAUGAAAUAUGUUUAAUUUUAUUAUUAUAUAAUAUAUUUUUUUAUAAAUUUAUAAAAAUUAUUGUGUUUUCAAUAUUUAAAAUAUUGAAAAUGCAUGGAUAUAUAUAUAUAUAUAUAUAUAUUUAACAUUAUUUGAUAAAAAAAUAGUAACAUAAUUUCGUAUUACAACAUUAAAUAAAUAUAUUGUAUAAUGGUAAAUAAAGAUUAUUAUAUAAUGUAAUUAUUGUAAGUUAUUGUUGAACUAAAUAAGGAAAAUGAAUAAAGAAUAAGUAAUUAAGAAUUUAAAAUGUAAUUGGUCGAGAAAGCUAAAUAAGGAAAAAAAAUUAGGUGGAAUAGAAUGAAUUAUUUAAAUGAAAAAGGCUGAAAAAAAUUGUGGUAACGACACCUUAGCAAAAUGGCCUCCAAAUUCUUCAUGUUUAAUGUAUAGAGGAUAUCAAGAGUUUGAACACAGGUGGAAACAAAAAAAAAAAAUUAAAAUCUUGAAUUUUUUAAAAAAAUCGGGCAAAGUGAGUAAUAAAAAUAAAUGUAUGACCCAAAUGUUCAAAAGUGUCACUGGUUUAAUGGCAGAAGUCUUAUGCAUUUGAAGGUCAUGAGUUCAAACUCAGGUGGAAUCAAUUUUUUUUUUUAAAUCGCAGAAUUUUAAAACGACGUCGUUUUGAGUUAACCCCAACAGUAACAGCAAAGUUAAUGGUUUUAAAAUUUUCUAUUAACUUUAUAAACAGUGUGCUGAUUUGACAAGUCAACGAAAAGUUUGUUAUUAUUUAUGGAAGUCAACAAAAGUUGAGUGUUUAUUUGGCUAAGCUGACAGUUUGUACUUUUUUUUGGCAAAAUGCGGAAAGUUUAGGAUUUUUUUGCCGGAAUUCUCAAAAAAAAAUCCUAUCAAUUACUCAUUCACUACUAGGACUAUUGUCAAACAUAAAUACAAAACAUUUUUAUCCAAACCUCCAAAACACAUUUGAUUAAAGAAAAAUUUUAUACUAGUUACGAACUAUCUAGAUCACUUUAUCGGUCAAUAUUCUGGUGCGGCUAUUUUGACCCUGUUAAACAAUUACUCAAACCUUGGAUCCAAAAAUAUUCCAAAAUUUUUAAGGCCUUUCUAUAAACAUUGAGAAAAAAAUCUAGUAGUGUGAUUUUCUUAAAAUUCUAUUUAUUUGGGUGUUCUCUUGCACUUUUGAACUUUCAUUUGAUCAAUAAUCCCAAAGAUUAGGAUAAAAAAAUCAUAUAAAAAGAGUAGUAAAUAGUCAAAAGAAUCACCUAUACAUAUGAGGUAAAAAAAUAGAAAUAGUCAAAAGAAUCACCUGUACAUAGGUAAAAAAAUAGAAUCACUGUAUUUACUCUAGCUACAUAUAUGGGUUAUGUAUAUUCUAUAAAUUAAAGUAAAUGAUAUGUGCAAGUAUAAACCAGAGGAACUGCAGGGUGUAUUCAUCGAUGAUAUCAGCAUUAUCUAACACUGUUGUUGUUCUCUUUGCUCUUAGUUGAUAUUGCAUAUGAGAACCUCUCGGUAGGCCUCCGUGUUUUUCCGUUGUUCCUUUUUAUUCUUUGCUUCUAUGUUAUUGACUCUUUCGUUUUGUUCGCUUAUAUGAAAGAUAUCCCUAGGUUUCUUUCCAGAGGUCCAGGAUCUUAACACGAAAUCCAUAGACAUAUCCAUCCACAGUUUGUUAGGUAUAGACAGAAGCAACUGUGACAAGUACCCAGCGGAACCAGAAUAACUUACUUGUAAGGGUCACAAUAAUUUUUUUUACUCUAUAAAAGUUGCAUAAAACUUAUUGAAAACUAUAUUAGAUCUCAUGUGAUCUAAUCUCACACAAAAUCUGAAAAUUUUAUCUGGCGUCAACAACAACGAUCUCCAUGUCUAGCUUUCAAAAAAUUAAGAAGACAUCAUUUUUAUAUUAUUUCAUUUUUUUUAAUAUAAAAAAACAUACACAAUGGAAGAACAUAAUAAAUAGCCAAUCAAUAACUAAUUGUACAUUUUAAAUUAGACUAGAGGCUUCAUAGGUUUAACUAAAUAAAUUUAUUUGAUUAAUAAAACUUCCGACAAAGCUUAUGUACAAACUAUGUACAUAAUCUUAUCAUAGGGUUUUUCUAAGUGCCGCCCUUCUUCACCAAGCUUACGAGCUAAAGAGAUAAGCUAUUCCCACCUUCAUCUGAACAAAUAAGCCAACAGAUGACUAGAUGAUGCGGCUAAAGAUCAAAUUAACCAAAUCAUGAAAAUGUAAACAAAGGACAUGUUCCAACAAAAACCAAUGUUCAAAUAAUCUGCAAAGUAGAUCAUCCGAAAAAUGCAAAAAAGAUGACAUGUUACAACCAAAACCAGUGUUCAAAAGAUGAUUCUAGAAAACGCAAACAAAGGACAUGUUCCAACCAAAACCUGUGUUCAAAUGACAAUUCUAGAAAAUGCAAACAUAGGACAUUUUCCAACCAAAACCAGUGUUCAAAUGAAAAUUCCAUAUUUGCUCUCUACCUUCUACGUCUCAGAAGAGUUGGGUCCUCUCAUCAAUCCAAAACCAACAACUGCACAAAUCCAUGCAUGAGACAAUAUUUACUAACAUGUAGACGUUAAAAAUCAGACAUUGUAAUAAAUCUACAAACAAGAUAUUACAAUAAUUAACGAGGACAGGAUAUGAUUCCCAAAAGCAGUAAGAAAAAUUGAAACAACCAUGAAGUUAUAAUCAAAGCCCUAUAUAGAUAGAGAGCAUGACUACAGUAAACUUGAAUUACUUUAUCAUACUAGGAAAUUACUUAUAAGUACUUGGAGGGAACUGAACAGAAACACAAGGUAAACCAAAAGCUUCAUCAUUUUCCCUGAUAAAUAUAUGCUGCAGAUAUGGUUUGCGAAGAUUUGAAAAUUGUGGUUUGAUAUGAUUUUACUUUAUAGAUCAUCUUUUUUCACUCAUAGAAAAAUCUCUCAACCGUUUGUUUGAAAAACACCCAGACAUUGCAUCAAUGUUAUGUAUAAAGAUCCAACUUCUGAAGACAACGUCAAAGCAUAUCCUACUCAGCUGGACUGAGACUUUGCGCAUGUCGCCUAAAAUCUCCAAGGAUGAUCUGUUUGAUGGAGAAAUUACUCUGGCAUACAUGACAAAUGUAGGGUUUAGGUUGGAUUGGUUGGAGAAGAAAUUUGGCGAAGUAAAAGAAAAUAUGGCGAAAGAGAAAGCUGGUGAGAUCUGGAUACUGAAGAAAAGUUAAAGGAUUUGAAGCAGAAGAGCUCAAACCUUGAAGCUCAGAUGGAGAAGGAGAGGGCAGGGGUUUUGGCUGCCAGAGCUCCUCUAUUGUUGUCUGAUGAGGAUAUUGUGUGAUGAAUUAAGUUCUUAGGACUUGGAUUUAGGUUCUGCUAGUGCUGUUUCGUACUUUGAAGACUCUCCAUUCAAAGGGUUAACUGAGUUUCUUGAUGGAAAAGUAAUGGCUUGGUUUUCGAAGAGAGUAGUCUAUGAAUAGUUGCGGCCAAACAUGUAUGGAUGCUUCUUGGUUAUUAUGUUUGGCGUUUUGCAAUUUUGCAUGAUUGAUUUUUUUGAUCAAUUCCUCCAAAUUUUUGUGUAUUAGAAUAUUAAAAUGAAAGGAUAUAUGUUGAAGAUAGGUUAUGAAGGAGCGAAGAAGAAGAAUUAUGAAGGAGCGAAGAAGAAGAAAGGAAAAUUGUGAUUUAACCACACAAAUUUAUUUAAUAAAAUAGCCACACUUUCCGAUAUCAUUUGCUGGACAUUUCUUUUAGUUUUUCUUUUAGUGUGUUUGUACGUGAUUAACCAUUUUAAGGUUUAGUGAGAACAGAACUAUCUUUCAGUAUAAACUUCCCAGAAAAUCCUAUCAGUUAUUAGAACUAACUAUUGUCAAACAUGAUAUUGUACUGUGUUUUAUCCAACCUCCAAAAUACAAACACACUCGAUUAAAGAAAAAAAUUAUACUAGUUACGAACAAUCUAGAUCACUAUAUCGGCUAAUAUUCUGGUGCAGCCAUUUUGACUCUGUUAGACAAUUAUUCUCCAAAAAUAUUCCAAAAUUCAAACCUUAUAGAAUUCUAUAAACUAAUGAGAGAAAAAAACUAUUAUAGUAUGAUUUUCUUCAAAUUCCAUUUCUUUGGGUGUUCUCUUGCACUCUUAAACUUUCAUUUAAUCAAAACUCCCAAUGAUUAGGGAAAAAAAAAAUCUAAUAUAAUGUUGGGAAAAACUCAUGUAAUAAUUUCCUCAAACCUUUACCCUUAAAACAUCACUAAUUGGAUAAAACCCCAAUAUCAAUUUAUUCAGACCUUAGACUAAGACAUUACACCAAACAUUUGAAACAACUCAUUUUUUCCCCUAACAAAAAAAAAAUUGUUUGUACUACUUGAAGCUGCAGAAGAAAAAGAAGAAGAAUUCAAGCAAUUUCCUAACAUUUUCUACCAUUGAUAUUGGACGAGAUCGAGAAUUAUCUGGCAUCGGAUUUGAAUACUUCAGAUGUUGGUGAAAGAAAAUCCAUAACAGCGAAGUAUGAUUUCUCUUUGUACGAAAUUAGGAACACAUGUGUAUGGAUCUCUAUCAGUACAAUAGUACAAUUAACAUAUCAAUACGGAAGGAAACAUCAAUAUAGUCCAUGUUGAAACGACGUAAAAGGUGUAAAAUUAAAAACGCAAACAUAAAAUUACUUAUUAGAAAACCAAAAAAAAAUCCAAACAGAAAGUAUCAAAAGAAGAACAACCAAUCAUAUAGUCAUGUAAAUUUCCAUCUGACUCGAUCAAUCUUGCAAAGAAAUAAAAGUUUCUUAGAAACAAAUGAAUAUUUUAUAAAAAGAGAUGAAGAUCGGACCGUAAUGCUUACAUUCCCCAGAAGAGAAGAGAUGAGAUGGGGUUUAGAUUCAGAUUCAGACAAGAAUACUUCUCGAUGUAACCCUUUUUUUUCUUCUUCUCAAAAACACAUCAAGUUCCCACUAUCAUGGAUCGAUAAUCCUGUGAGGGGGUUGCUUGUUUUUUUUUCUUACUUUCUUGAACAUGAUCAACAACAAGACCUGGAUCUUCAUUGUGUUUGUUCUCAAACUCACUCCAAACUUCUUCUUGUUCUUUUGAUGAGACUUGUUUGGUGGAAGUUUGGUGGUGUUGAUGAUGAUGAGAGAGUGAGAGUGAGAGGAAAUUAUAGCUGUUAAAAAGAAGAAGAGACAUGAUGAUUACUGACUAGUACAGCAUUGAAAAAAUAAUUAUAAAAAGAGUAGUAAAUAGUCAAAAGAAUCACAGCUUACUCUAGAUAUA